UGGGGAAUAUUGGACAAUGGGGGCAACCCUGAUCCAGCCAUGCCGCGUGAGUGAUGAAGGCCUUCGGGUUGUAAAGCUCUUUUGGCGGGGACGAUGAUGACGGUACCCGCAGAAUAAGCCCCGGCUAACUCCGUGCCAGCAGCCGCGGUAAUACGGGGGGGGCAAGCGUUGUUCGGAAUUACUGGGCGUAAAGGGCUCGUAGGCGGCCAACUAAGUCAGACGUGAAAUCCCCAGGCUCAACCUGGGAACUGCGUCUGAUACUGGUUGGCUUGAAUCCGGGAGAGGGAUGCAGAAUUCCAGGUGUAGCGGUGAAAUGCGUAGAUAUCUGGAGGAAUACCGGUGGCGAAGGCGGCAUCCUGGACCGGCAUUGACGCUGAGGAGCGAAAGCCAGGGGAGCAAACGGGAUUAGAUACCCCGGUAGUCCUGGCCCUAAACGAUGAAUGCUUGGUGUGACGGGUAUCGAUCCCUGUCGUGCCGAAGCUAACGCAUUAAGCAUUCCGCCUGGGGAGUACGGUCGCAAGGCUGC
rnacentral:rRNA from 1 species